GAAGAUCUUCGCCAGGUGAGAAUAAUAAUCACUCAGUUGUCCCUCCCUGCUGCCGUACAGUCAAGAUGGCAGCGAAGAUAAACAAAACCGGGGAUUUAUUCAUUAUUUAUUCAUCUUGUAUCGCGUCUAAUUUUACUGGAUUAUCAACAUAUCGGUUCAUCUGUCUGAAUGGACGUGAGCAGCAGUGAAUGAAACCGAUCUUCAUUUGUUCCUUUAAAAACCCUCCGAGGCGUCCGACUCAUCGCAGGACAGGGAGGCAGGAAGAGGAGUGAAGGAGGAGGAGGAGGAGGAGGGGAGGAAACAGGAUGAAGACAGGAAGGACGGAGCUGGACAGGACAGGGUGGGAUUGAGAGAUGAAAACCUCACAGGAAUAGAGACAAAUGGGAGGAACAGGAAGGAGAGCUGUAAAGAGAGAACAUGGAGGAUUUGCUGAGCAUGCUUUUUUUUUUUUUUUUUUUCAGCAGCACUCAUUGAUCCUCUCUGUCCGUCUACGUGGAUCCUACUGAUUCAUUUUUAAUGAGAGCCUUUUUUAAUGAUGUCCAGAGGAUUUGUCAGCCUCUGUCAGAUUUCCGUUUCCUUUGAUUGACGAACAGAUCAAAUUAAAACUGUGGGUCUGUUUCCAUGUAUCCUGUAUCAUCAUUUUGUUUGAAAACUCAUCAUCAAAGGUUUACAUAAACAUAUAUAAUAUAUGGAGAAAGUGUGGUAUAAUAUUGAGAUGAACUAUAUUACAAUAUACAAGUGUCCACAACAACAAUUAAAUAUAAUUUAUGGCAAUCAAACAUCACUGAAAAAAAAGACCUGGGAAAAAUUCACAGGUCACAAAAAUAUAAAAUAAAAUCUAUGUUCACAAGAUAAUGGAAUUGAAUGCACAGAUUAUGUGGGAGGUGUUUUUUUUUAUCAAAGUAAAUUAAAAAUUAAAGUUA